AUUGAACGCUGGCGGCAGGCCUAACACAUGCAAGUCGAGCGGAUGAAGGGAGCUUGCUCCUGGAUUCAGCGGCGGACGGGUGAGUAAUGCCUAGGAAUCUGCCUGGUAGUGGGGGAUAACGUCCGGAAACGGGCGCUAAUACCGCAUACGUCCUGAGGGAGAAAGUGGGGGAUCUUCGGACCUCACGCUAUCAGAUGAGCCUAGGUCGGAUUAGCUAGUUGGUGGGGUAAAGGCCUACCAAGGCGACGAUCCGUAACUGGUCUGAGAGGAUGAUCAGUCACAAUGGAACUGAGACAAGGUCCAGACUCCUAAGGGAGGCAGCAGUGGGGAAUAUUGGACAAUGGGCGAAAGCCUGAUCCAGCCAUGCCGCGUGUGUGAAGAAGGUCUUCGGAUUGUAAAGCACUUUAAGUUGGGAGGAAGGGCAGUAAGUUAAUACCUUGCUGUUUUGACGUUACCAACAGAAUAAGCACCGGCUAACUUCGUG
rnacentral:rRNA from 1 species